UGCAGUCGAACGAUGAUGCCCAGCUUGCUGGGCGGAUUAGUGGCGAACGGGUGAGUAAUACGUGAGUAACCUGCCCUUGACUCUGGGAUAAGCCUGGGAAACUGGGUCUAAUACUGGAUACUACGUCCCAUCGCAUGGUGGGGGGUGGAAAGGGUUUUACUGGUUUUGGAUGGGCUCACGGCCUAUCAGCUUGUUGGUGGGGUAAUGGCUCACCAAGGCGACGACGGGUAGCCGGCCUGAGAGGGUGACCGGCCACACUGGGACUGAGACACGGCCCAGACUCCUACGGGAGGCAGCAGUGGGGAAUAUUGCACAAUGGGCGGAAGCCUGAUGCAGCGACGCCGCGUGAGGGAUGACGGCCUUCGGGUUGUAAACCUCUUUCAGUAGGGAAGAAGCGAGAGUGACGGUACCUGCAGAAGAAGCGCCGGCUAACUACGUGCCAGCAGCCGCGGUAAUACGUAGGGCGCAAGCGUUGUCCGGAAUUAUUGGGCGUAAAGAGCUCGUAGGCGGUUUGUCGCGUCUGCUGUGAAAGCCCGGGGCUCAACCCCGGGUCUGCAGUGGGUACGGGCAGACUAGAGUGCAGUAGGGGAGACUGGAAUUCCUGGUGUAGCGGUGAAAUGCGCAGAUAUCAGGAGGAACACCGAUGGCGAAGGCAGGUCUCUGGGCUGUUACUGACGCUGAGGAGCGAAAGCAUGGGGAGCGAACAGGAUUAGAUACCCUGGUAGUCCAUGCCGUAAACGUUGGGCACUAGGUGUG
rnacentral:rRNA from 1 species